GUUUUAUUCUUAUUCCUUAAUAGAGAGAAUUCAUUCUAGAUCGCUAACUUGUUUUCUCCAUUUCUCUCUUUACUGUUUUUACCUAUAAAAAAUAAACUUAACUUAUAAAGAUUUUUUUUAGCAGAUCAGUCUCUCUGUGACAGAAGCACACAACACUUGACAAUUUUUGCUUAUUACACAAACCAGAAUAUCCUAUAGAUUUCAUCUUCUUGCUAACAUAACUGGAUUAGCAAUCAGAAACAAAUGCAAUUAGAUGACAAUUGUAUGGAAUAGGAAAAAUGUAAUUAAAUAGUAAAGAGCAAACAAAGAUGUUUUUAUUCCAUGAGAAAAAUAAAUUUCAGGCCUUGAAAUAAAAUAUUCUAUACAAGCGAAGAAUAAGAUUAAAAAGGUAUUUAGAUACACAUGAGGCCUGGUGCCAUGAAACAGUGAUAUUGAAUAAGUGUUAAUAUUAUUUUUGGCAGUAAAUAACUUAAAAAUAUUCAGAAUAAAAUGCAUCAGGAUAUUAAGAUUAACAGAAGGCAGAGUUUCCAGAGCCUCGUUUACAUGACUAUAUAUAUAUUUCUUUUUUUCUUAAAGCUUAGAAGUGGUUUUAAAACAGAUUACAACAUUUGCAUGAAUGAGUACCAAAUGAACAAUGAAUUUGUGAAGAAAAUGAGCCCUCCACCCAGUCUAGUAAUUUUAUGGUUCAAAAGUCAUAUCAGAUUAUUUUUAAGCCUUUAUUUCAUUGUGGGUAUAAAUUUGAAGUAUUAUCUCAAAUGUGAAGAAGCAUGAAACAGCUCAUUGUGGAGUUCAAGCAAAUAGAAACAACUACUGCGGCUAUUUCUAUACUAAGCUCAUCCCUAAAUUCAAUUGCGAUUUUAAUUAUUUUGAGAUAGUUUGGGCUUGGGAGACGUCCUUAAGGGUUAGUUGUUAUAUAAUGAAAAAUAUUGGGCAAAAUUAUUUGAACAGACUGUUAAGAUGACAAGGUAAACAAAUGAACAGCUUUCCUAUCCAGUUAUUUCUUUUCCUUUAUUCAUCAACAAAUCUCAGAAGAAACUAUGUUCCAGGAGCACAUUGUUCUCAUGCUUUGGAUACAAAGUUAAAAUUGAUAUAACCCUUUUUCAGGAGAAGUUCACUGUUGGCUAGGGAAGAGAAACACAAAAACAGAUCAUUGUAAGGCAACGUUCGAAGUGUUAAUAAAGAAGGAUGAGAAUUGUUUGCCGUUGGGAAUGAUUACCUUUGAAUAGACAAGUCUAGAAAGUCUUCAUGGAGAAGUCCUGGGUCCUGAAGAAAGAGUAAGAGAUUAUCAGGAAAAGAAAAGAGGAAAGCAGGAUGUCUUCUGUGGUUACUUUUUAAAUCUAAAUAUUUUAAACGAUUGAAUAAUCUGAGGGAGCAUGCUGGGAGUCAGCCAGAAAACAGUCUGAAUGGACGCAAUUUGAGAAACAGUCGACCUUGGUUAACUGCUUUAUUGGGAUAGAGCCACAGACUGUAAAAUUCACUCUUUGAAAGCACACAGCAUUAUUCACAACAGCCAAAGGAUGCAAACAACCCAAAUCCAACUCAAGUGGUGAAUGGGUGAGGUCAAUCAUGAGACCACCUCCUGGAGACAGUGAUUGGUGGAGGGAAGAGUACAUGACCAAGGCAAAUUAAGUCCAGACCAGUCAGGUUCUUCCUGGUGUUUUUUCCUAACUGAAGCAUCUUUCUGGUGAAGAAGCUAUCAGAAGAGAGUUCUGUUUCCCCUUAGGAUGUGGAAAGUCUCAAGAAACUAUUACUCCCACUCGAAAAAUACAAAAAAGCCAGAUAAUCUACAAAAUCUUAAAUUUUCUUGAGCUCAUCACAGAGCCAAGGUCAAAAGGCAACCAAGUAAACUGAACUCCAAAGAGUGACAAGCUACUCCAAAGAGAGAUGGAACAUGCAAACUCUCACCUGUGGCAAAUCAUGGGAGAAAAAGGUUACCAAAAUAAAAACAGGUAAGAAGAAAUUGGCUAAAACGUCAACAAAUUCUUAAAAGUCAAGUGUGAUCUAGUGUCAUUUUGAAAUAGCUAGAAGCCCCAGACACAAAAAACGUUUGCACUCACUGGCAAACUCUAUUCCACGGCCACUGAGUGCUCACAAGAACAACUGGGGGCAGGGCAGGAAACUUGCGAGAGCCUCUCCUGGGUGGCACAGCCAUGAAGAAGGUGAUCAGCUACUAAUGGGGGACAGACUCAAAAUCCCACCCAAUUUCCUGGAUCCUUCUCUCAAAGGAAACAAAAGCGUUAAGCUCCUGGGAAGGGGUAGCAAAUCUUUUCAUUCUCAGAGCCAGGCAAACUUCCAUGGCCUGUGGGAGAGGAGUAGAAACAAAACCAGGUUGCUUCUGGAGUAAGGGGAAGGAAAGCCUCUCACCUCUAGGACAAAGGCAAAGAACCAUUGCCUCUGGGAGAAGGAUAGAAGCUAAAACCCCAUAUUGAAGAAGGAGUGGGAAUCUUCCUUUGGGCCCAAGACUCUGCACCAAAAAUAAGCGGAGAUCUGCUACCCUGAAGGAGGAGCAGGAAACUCUCUUCUACCCAACACAGAGCACAGUUACAAGUCAGAGUUUAACCGACAUGGGAAGUCAAAGCAGAAAUAUGAAGAAGGGGUGGGAAUACUGAGAAAACCCAACCUCAAACACAGGAGCACAGGGCCUGCCUAAGACCAAGGCUGGACCAAAACAACAGAGAACCCCUCUGUUCCUAUAAGUCUAGAAUCAAGCAACAAACAACUUCAGUCUACUACUUAGGGGAACAAGAGCACAGAGAGGGACGCUGUCUGUGGCACAGGUACACAGGAAGUGCUGAAAGCUGAGAGUGGAGCAAAAAAACUGAGAUAAAUUUACUAGGAUCCCAAGCCCUGCUAUAAGCAUAAGCAACCAAAUCCUGGAGGAAUAGGAAGACUAUGAUGCCCUGAAAGUAAUGGGAACAACAACAAAACCCAAACCCAGCUCAAUUCAUGACUAGGUUGACUCAAUCCCUCACAAUAUUAGUCCAACAGAAGAAGAGGUAUAUUCAUUUCUGAAUGAUGAAUAAUAUUUAUUAUUAUCUCAAUCUCUUAUGUUUUUCUAUGCACACUAUCUAGUAUUCAAUAAAAAAAAAAGGUAAGUUAUACAAAAAUCAAGAAAUAAACAACCUUUUGCUCAGAGAUAAAGCACUCAACACAAACAGACACAGAGAUGACCCAAAUGUUGAAACUAUCAUAUAGGGACUUUAAAACAACUAUGAUUAAUACUUUAAGAGAUCUAGUGAAAAAGGUGGACAACAUGUAUGAACAGAUGGUAAAUUUCAUUAGAGAGAGAGAAACUAUAAAUAACCAGUCAAAUGGAUAUGCUAAGGAAAAAACAUGAAAGAAAUGAAGAAUUCCUUCAAUGCUCUCAGCAGCAGACUGGACACAGGUAAGCAAAAAAUCAGUGAAUUAAAGAGAGGUCAGCAGAAAUUGUCCAAACUAAACAUUAAGAGAAAAAAGUAAAAAAUACUGAAAAGAGUUUCCAAGAGCUGUGGUACAAAACAGUCUAAUAUAUAUGUAAUUGGAGUACCAGAAAGAGAAUAGAGAACAAGGCAGAAGAAAUACUUGAAGAGCUAACGGUCAAGAAUUUUCCAAAAUUAAUGAAAGACAACAAGAUACAGAUAUAAGAAACCCAGAAAAAUCACGAGCAAGAUUAAAAGAAAAAACAAAACACAAAAAUCCCUCCCAGACAUCUCAUAGUCAAACUUCUGAGAAUAAAAGGGUAAAGAGGAAAUCUUGAAGGCAGCCAGAGGAAAAAAAUUACCUAUAUACAGUCACAGAGGGGCUAGCCUGGUGGUGCAGCAGUUAAGUGCACAUGUUCCACUUUGGCGGCCCAGGGUUCUCUGGUUCGGAUCCUGGGUGUGGACAUGGCACUUCUUGGCAAGCGAUGCUGAGGCAGGCAUCCCACAUAUAAAGUAGAGGAAGAUGGGCAUGGAUGUUAGCUCAGGGCCAGUCUUCCUCGCAAAAACAGGAGGAUUGGCAGCAUAUGUUAGCUCAGGGCUAAUCUUCCUCAAAAAAAAAAAAAAAAAGAGAGAGAGAGUCAAAGAUAAUAAUUACAACAAAAAUAUUUUUUAAAUAAGAAAGGAAUUACAGUAUAUUUAUCAUUAGAAACUAUGCAAGCCAGAAGACAAUGGAGUGGCAUCUUUAAGGAAAAGGGGAAAAAACCUGUAAGCCCAGAAUUUUGUAUCCAGUGAAAAUAUCUUCCAAAAAUAAAGGCAAACUGGGGCCAACCCUGUGGCCUAGUGGUUAAGUUCAUGUGCACUCCACUUUGGUGACCUGGGUUCACAGGCCUGGUUCCUGGGCAUGGACCUACACCACUCAUUGGCAGGCAUUGGCAGCCAUGCUGUGGCAGCGACCUACAUAUAAGAUAGAGGAAGAUUGGCACAGAUUAGCUCAGGGCUAAUCUUCCUCAGCAAAAAUAAAUAAAUAAAUAAUAAUAAAAAAUAAAGGCAAACUAAAGAUUUUUUUCAGACAAACAAAAACUGAAAGAAUUCAUUGUUAGAAGUCCUGCAUAUUAAGGAAUGCUAAAGAAAGUUCUUCAGGCAGAAGACAUAUGAUACUAGAUGGAAAUUUGGAUCUACAUAAAGGAAUAAAGAGCAUCAGAAAUGAGAAAAAUUAUAGGAAAUAUAAAAGAAUUUUUUUCUUAAUUCUAAUCUUUUAAAGAAAAACCUAUAAGGCCAUAAGACCACGAUUGCUGUUCAGCUUCAUUAGAGAAGACUGAAAGAAUAAAGUCAAUAAAGAAUAAAGAAACUGAGAUGAGAGAUGGCAAGGGAGAGCAUACCAACAGCGUCCAGGUCCAUUGGUUCUGGAGACCCCCAAGACAGCCACCAUUCCUGUCUUCCCCAUGAUGUUGUAAUCUGCUUGAGGUAGCAUGAGUUACAUUUCUGUCGCUUUAAACCAGAUAUUGUCUAACUUGCUAUCCUCUUUGAUUUAUAUUUGUAACAAGGUGACUCUGGGUGAGACUGGAUCCCCAAGAUUUUUGAAUAUUCAGUAAAAAAAGACUGAAAAGGAACUAAGUUUUAUACAGACUAGAGAUGACCCAGAUGUUGAAACUAUCAGACUACCAGACUUAACCUAAACUGGGCUUUGAUUUCUCAAAUAUGACAUGUUUUUAAGAUUUAGAAAAUGUAAUGAUUAAAGAUAUUGUGUGUUUGAGUCUUACUGAUUCCCUAGAACCAGAUCACAUGCCUAUGGGGUGGUUUCCCCGCAGGUAAUACACAUCCCACUAACAAUUAUCUUAGGGAAAUGAUGUAUUUUUGAGAUUGAAAAAAAAUAGAGGAUAUGCAGGACUUAAGUGGGUUUUAGUGAUGAGGAUCAAGGCUGCCCCAAGGGAGAAAAGCCCAAGGUGUCCUGCCCUACAUACCCAUCUAUAUCACCCUCUGGAAGUGUAGGACAUCCUGACCUGAUCCGAUCUGAUUCUUAUCUAAAGCUAUAGGACCACCGAAUAACCAGACCCUACCUACACUGAUACCAUUUUAAUGACUUUUUUACAUAAUCUUUCCUUGUCUUGUAAAGAGAUAGCUCACAUACCUAUACCUUAAAUUUACCCCUACCCUCAACCCAUGUUUGCAGCUCUUCACUGCCCAUGGGUUCUGUCCCCAUGCUACUCCAUGCUAUUCUCUGAAUAAAGGAGCGCUACUACCAGACCUUGAGAGUCCAAGAAAUCUUUCUUUUGACUCCUCGGCUUGCCGAGCCCACAUCAUUAGAAUGAAGUAGGAGGACAAAAACCCUUUUUUUCUAAGGCCAGAGAGCCAGUUUGGCUUGAACUCUGACGUGUGGAGGUACCAAUAGUGAUUCUAGUAGUCGAAUUGUGAACUAACCCUCCAGCCAUGGAGGCAGUACAUGAGCAAAGCAACGAGUUGGCCCUGUCAGGAAGAAACCUCAGGACAGAUUUGGGCUUGUGUGAUGGGUAUAAGUUGUUCCCAUUAUUGCUCUACCCUUCCAUGAUCCCUGAACCAUUAGUCAUGUCACAUUAAAAGUUACAGACUGAUCUCCUUUGACUGUGUCAAAUUACACAAUUGCCAAAGUGUGUUCUACCUUGAAGGCCUACUGGUGGUAGCAGGUGUGAUCCCUAAGAAAGAAUCCUGUGGCCAACGGCUCAGCUAUCUGAGAGUGGUAGGUUGCAGAGUCUGCUGGGUGACAAGUUCAAAAGGACACCACAUGGAAGAUCAUAAGGGGCCAGUUCCUGAGCAGACAUGAGACGACACCCUGGAGAAUGCCGUGAAAUUGAUGAGGAAUACAAUUGCCUUCACUGAUGCCCCUGGAAGCAGAACUUGAGAUAGGGACUCAGAUGCAGGAAGAUUAGCUCUGAGCUAACUACUGCCAAUCCUCCUCUUCGUGCUGAGGAAGACCAGCCCCGAGCUAAUAUCCGUGCCCAUCUUCCUCUACUUUAUAUGUGGGAUGCCUACCACAGCAUGGCUUUUGCCAAGCGGUGCCAUGUCUGCACCCAGGACCCGAACCAGCAAACCCAGGGCCGCCGAGAAGAGGAAUGUGCGAACUUAACUGCUGCACCACCGGGCCAGCCCCUAAAAUUUGAUUUUUAAACGAUGUGGUUUUUCUCUCUUCCUUUUGCCCAGAUCAUUCUCCUCACUAUUCAAGGAGCAGGAAGACAUUUUUAUACACACACACACACACGCACACAUGCAUAAAAGGAAUUGAAUUAUUUGGAUUUUGAGCUCUUGAGUAGGCUUUUGUAAAUCUAUGGCAGAGACAAUAAUCUUCAAAGUCAUGGUUUUCAACUUCCUAAACCUGAUGCUUAAGAGAGAAAAGGAUAAAAAUCUGGCUUUAAAAAAUAAAGGCAAAGAUGGAGAACUCAGAGCAUAGAAUUUCACCAUAAAAUAUUUCAGUCAAUUUGGGAUCGAUGAAGGUUAAUGUAAAAGCUAUUUUUCCACUCAAAGAGAAUAAAAGUUUGAGUAGCAGAGAAGGGAGGAGAUGUGACUAGACCUUAGAUACUGCCUGAGUCCUUGGGAAGGUUCUCAAAACAAUACCUCUGGGGGUUGGGUAAGAGGAGGCCUAGGGAAAGAAACCUCUGAGAGGGCUGAGAUUCCUGAACCCAGAAGAUGCAAGCCUCAUAAAGAAGCAAGAGUCCAGUGUAGGGCCUAAGAGGUAGCUCAACGGGAGAAUGUGCCUAAGGGCAGCCAUCCUCACCUUAACCCUACCCUCUCUGUGUAGACUGGAAAAAAUUAGUGAGAGGGGCUGAGUACUCAAAGGUGUGGGACAAGGAAGUGCUGAGUUUGGGUCAAUGUUCUAAAAAGGGCCUGGAGUUAGCAUAAGAGGAUGUAGAAUGUGUGGAUGGCCCCAUCCAAGGUCAUGUCCCCUUCUCAGGACAACCCGUAUCCAAUGGCUGAUCAAUAUGGAGACAAAAAGACCCAGCCCUCUUACUCAAACUUGGGACAAUUCUGAUGGGUCAUCCCAGCUUCAGAUGGGGACACAUUGGCAGCUAAGGCCUCUGUUGAGACCACAUCACAAUUUAACUUCUUCCUCUGUUCAGUCCUCCUUCCUUCCCUUCUUCUUCAUCGAUGUGCCACCCAAGAGGGCUCCCUAACAAACUUUCUGCAUGCUAAUCUCCAUCUGAGUCUGCUUUCUGGGGAACACAACCUGCAACAGUCUUUCAGCCUGCUUUGGGAAAGGAAGACUUUGUAAGUCAGGUUAAGAGCCUGGAUGUUAGUCUCAGGACAAGGUGGAGUCAUUGAAGGGUUUUAAGAAGGAGGUGAUUUGACCAGCUGUGGAUAUUAGAUCCCCUGGCUACAGUGUGGAAAGUGGACCCAAGAGGGCUUGACUGGAGGCAGGGACAUCAUAAAUGUGGCUAUUGAAUUACACAGACAAAAGAUGAUAAUUCCAUGAACUUGGAGAUGUGACAAUAGAGAUGGAAAUAAGCUGACAAAUUGUAGUAAUAUUUACGAAGUUCAGUCAAAAGGACUAAUUGAUGAUAUGUGGGUUUGAAGGAGUGGGAAGAGUCAGAAAUGAUGUCCAGGUUUCUGGAUUGAGCAAUUAGUGAUGCCAUCACCGACUCCAAGUUACAGCUCUUAAAAAAGAAGACACUUCCUACUCCCUACUGCACCUGAGCUGCACUGUAAGUCUCAAGGAGUCUGAUGAUUUCCUAAGUCCUGUAUAGGGUGACUUUUUCCAAUUAACUCCUCACAGAAUGCAGAGCCAGCCAUUCCCCUUCCAAUGCCCCACCACCACUACAGAAAAGCAGGAGAACUGGGCUCAACUAUUUGUGCCUCCAAAACAUAUAAACAAUUAUUUAUGCCGAAAAGAGAAAGAAAAUUCAACAUACGAAAAAAUUGAGGAGAAGCAAUAUAGCAGACAGUUUAAAAGCAUGCAUUUUGGAGUUAGACUGAGUUCAAAUUCUGGCUCUACCACUUAUGACAUAUCAAUUUGAGCAAGUUAUUAACUUUUCUGUGCCUCAGUUUCUGUUAUUUACAAAAUAUGGACAAUGAUGGCACCUACCCCAAAUGGUUUUUGUGAAGAUCAAAUAAAUUAAUGCAAGGAAAAUGCUGAAAAUCGUGCCUGGCAUACAGUAAUCACUUAAUAAACGUUAUCAAUUAUUAUUCCACUAGAAUGUAGGCUCUGUGAAGAUAAGAAUUUGUCCCUUUUUUUGCCUCAUGAGUCUCCAAUGUCUGGAAUGGGGCUUGGUGCCUAACAAAUAGAGUCACACAAUCAUUAUUUGUUGGAUGAAUAAGAUCCCUGAGAAGAGAGUACUGGUUGCCUACCCCAACAGGCAUUCUUCCCUUCCUCCUUAGUAACAGAAUCCAGAUUUUUGUCUGGGCAUACUAAUACCUGGAAUUAUGUUUUCCUGCUUUCCUUGCAGCUAAAUUUGGUCAAUGAAAUGUAAACUGAAAUGUCUUAUGGAACUUUCUGCCAUAUCUGGAAGUGGCCCUUCUAUCUUGUCUCUUCUUUUGGCCUGCAACUAAGAUGCCAGAAGUUGCAGCUGCUGUCUUGAACCAAAAGGUACCCUGAAGAUGGAAGCCAUGUGCCAACAUGAUGGACAGAAACAUUGUAGCUUGAGACUCUCAUGUUCUCAGAGAACUGCCAGGCCAACCCAGGAACGCCGACCUCCAGACUUCUUUUACCAGAGAAAUACAUUUCCGUAUUUUUGAGCCAACUUUGUUUUAGGGGUUUGGUUAAAUGCUGCCAAACUAAUCCUAAUUAAUACAUUUGUCGAGCUGAUGAUUUUAAACUACCUUAAUAAGGCCAAUUAUUCAAUCUCAGAGUCUUGUAUAACAAUCUUUAACAGCAUUUAUCCUUUGGGACUUUUUAUAUGGUUUUAACAGGAGACAUGCUUUGUCCACAACGAGAGGAAAGGGAAACCCACAUAUAUUGGAUACCCAUAAUGAAUUAACUUCUUCCACAUACAUGAAUUUAUUUAAACAUCACACCUGGGACGGUGGGUAUUAUUUGCCACAUUUUCAAAUAAGCAAACUUAGGCUACAGAUGUUUACUUGGCUUGCCCUCAGUCACCGUGUAAGAAAGCUGUGGAGGUGGAAUUUGAACCUGUGUCUGUUUGGCCCCAGAGCCCAUGCCCUUCCCAUGACCCCUCACUGCACACAACCAACCACAUAAACUCAUUCUCAAAGGCCCAAGAUUGGUUUCCUCAUCACGUGGCUAAAGAGGUAUCAGCAUAGUUAUUUCCUUUGGCAUAGUCUACCUUUACUUUUUCAUUUUCUGGCACUUUGAAAACUUGGGGUCCAUUGCUUUAAAUCCAUCUUUAUUUCUCACAGGCCUUGUUUUCAAAUCACAGAUUUCUAUUCACAAGGUGACAGCGGCUCCUAAAUAUCUCCCUCAACCACUCUGACUUGCUAGAGCCUGUCGUUCCAGUACCAAUAAAAUGCAAGUGACUCAAAUUGAGAUUACCAACCUCUCAUCAGACCAGCUGGAGAGAGUGCAUGGUCUGCCUUGGCCACACCCAGUUCUCUUUCCCAGAGUUUUUCUCAUUUACUAAAUAUGAUCUCAAGGCUGCUCCACCUUCUGUACUCUCUAUCUCAGUGAACGUCAUCACCGUCCAUCCUGUUGCUUAAACCAGAAUCCUCUGAAUCAUUCUUGAUACCUCCCUCUCCAUCAUCCACCACAUACAGGAAACAUUAAGCCUCCUUUUCCUUAUCUUUUAUGUGUAACAUUAAUCCAUCCCCUAUUUCAGGCCAGUACUCGCUUAUUGAUAUUAUUGCUAAUUUUUCUCCUUGCCUCCAGCCAAUUCUACACUUCAAAACACAAAUUUUAUGUCAUUCCUCUUUUUUUUUUUCUGGGAAAGAUUCACCGUGAGCUAACAUCUGCUGCCAAUCUUCCUCUUUUUUUUUUUUAAGUCCCCAACACCCCAGCACGCAGUUGUAUAUUUAAGUUGUAAGUCUUUCUAGUUCCUCUGUGUGAGCCGCUGCCACAGCAUGGCUACUGACAGACAAGUGGUGUGGAUCUCUGCCUGGGAACCAAAGCCAGGCCGCCAAAGCAGAGUGUGCCAAAUUUUAACCACUAGGCCAUCAGGACUAGCUCUUGUUCCUCUUUUUUUUUUUUUUUUUUCAAGAUUUUAUUUUUCCUUUUUCUCCCCAAAGCUCCCCUGGUACACAGCUGUAUAUUUUUAGUUGUGGCUCCUUCUAGUUGUGGCAUGUGGGACGCCGCCUCGGCAUGGCUUGACGAGUGGUACCAUGUCUGCGCCCAGGAUCCGAACUGGUAAAAUCCUGGGCCACCGAAGCAGAGCGCACAAACUUAACCACUCCGCCAUGGGGCUGGUCCCUCAUUCCUCUUUUUAUUUUAAUUUUUAUUGAAGUAUAACUUAAUAAAGGUAUUAACUUAGUAAAGUGCCCAAAUCUUAAAUAUAUGACUUGAUAUGUUUUUAAAUAUGUAUACCAGAUCAAGACAGAGAAUAUUCUGGCACUCCAGAAGGCUCUCUCAUGCCCUCAUUUGAGUCAUACUCCACCCCCAAGGUAACUACUAUUCUGAAUUCUGUCACCACAAAUUAGUUUUGCCUGUUUUAAAAACUCGUAGAAGUGGAAUCAUACAAUAGGUUCUUUUUUGUGUAUGACUUUUUCACUCAAUGUCUAUGAUAUUCAUUCAGUAUGUGGCACUCCUCUUUAUUGCUAUGUAGUAUUUCAUUCUGUGAAUACAUCUCAAUUUAUUUACCCUUUUCACUGUUGAUGGAUGUUUGAAUCAUUUAUAGGUUUUAGAUAUUAUGAAUAAAACUGUUAUGAACAUUUUUGCCUAUAUCUUCUGGUUGACACAAGCACACAUUUCUGUUGGUACAUAACCUAGAGCAGAAUUGCUGGGUCAGAGAGCAUUAGUAGGUAUUAUUAUUAUGUUGUGUUGUAUUGUAUUAGGUAGGUAUUCGUAGGUAUUGUAUUAUAGGUAGGUCUUAUAAGAAUUCCAGUUAUUCCACAUCCUCAUCAACUCUUGGUAUUGUCUAUCUUUUUAAUUUUAACCAUUCUGGUGGCUUUAAAAAUCUUUCUAUGACACCUCACCUAGAUAAAGUCCAAACUCCAUAACAUGAUAGACAGUCCUUCAUAACCUGAAUUCUACUUAUCCAUUUAGCCUUAUCUCUAAUCUCUGCCCACCUUGAACUUGAAGCUGUAUACCUAAUAAAUUACUUGUGGAUCCUUGAGUGCUCUUUGUUUGGUUUUGUUCUGCUUCGCUUCUGGUCUCUGAACUUCCUCUUCUCCUGUGCCUUCUUUUCAUUUGGAUAAGUCUUUCUCAUCCACUGAGCCUCAGCUUAAACAAUACCUUCUAAACAUUCCCAACCUCAAGAUUCAGUUAAAUGCCCUUCAGUGUGCACCUAGAAUUCCAAAUGUUUACUCUUUUCUUAAUAUGCAUCACAGUAGAUUGUAAUUGCCUGUUGACUUGUCCAUUUUUCCUGGGACAGGGACUGUAUCUUGUUCAAUUGAGUAUCCCCAGUGCUUAGAAGAGUAUGAGCACAUAAAAGGUGCUUAAUAAUGUGUUAAGUUAAUGAACAAAUUAAUAAAUGAAAUAACUGAGAUAAUGAAAUAAUUAAUGGAGUAACUCAAAUUAUUAUUAUUAAGAAUGAAAUUAUCAGGAUACUUCGAGAUCAGUAUACUGAUUUCUAAAUUCUCAUUCCUUAGGUUGUGCUUUCAACAAGUGAUAAUGAGGGGAAAAACACAGCAAGUAUUAAAUAACUAAUCAGUCA
rnacentral:lncRNA from 1 species